rnacentral:rRNA from 1 species
UAGGGAAUCUUCCGCAAUGGACGAAAGUCUGACGGAGCAACGCCGCGUGAGUGAAGAAGGAUUUCGGUUCGUAAAACUCUGUUGUUAGGGAAGAAAAAAUGUAUAGUAACUAUAUACAAAAGAGACGGUACCUAACCAGAAAGCCACGGCUAACUACGUGCCAGCAGCCGCGGUAAUACGUAGGUGGCACGCGUUGUCCGGAAUUAUUGGGCGUAAAGCGCGCGCAGGUGGUUUAGAAAGUCUGAUGUGAAAGCCCACGGCUCAACCGUGGGGGGUCAUUGGAAACUAAUAAACUUGAGUGCAGGAGAGAAAAGUGGAAUUCCUAGUGUAGCGGUGAAAUGCGUAGAGAUUAGGAGGAACACCGGUGGCGAAAGCGGCUUUUUGGCCUGCAACUGACACUGAGGCGCGAAAGCGUGGGGAGCAAACAGG